rnacentral:rRNA from 1 species
ACACAUGCAGUCGAGCGGCAGCACGGGUACUUGUACCUGGUGGCGAGCGGCGGACGGGUGAGUAAUGCCUAGGAAUCUGCCUAGUAGUGGGGGAUAACGUCCGGAAACGGGCGCUAAUACCGCAUACGCCCUACGGGAGAAAGUGGGGGAUCUUCGGACCUCACGCUGUUAGAUGAGCCUAGGUCGGAUUAGCUAGUUGGUGAGGUAAUGGCUCACCAAGGCGACGAUCCGUAACUGGUCUGAGAGGAUGAUCAGUCACACUAGAACUGAGACACGGUCCAGACUCCUACGGGAGGCAGCAGUGGGGAAUAUUGGACAAUGGGCGAAAGCCUGAUCCAGCCAUGCCGCGUGUGUGAAGAAGGUCUUCGGAUUGUAAAGCACUUUAAGUUGGGAGGAAGGGCAGUUACCUAAUACGUGAUUGUUUUGACGUUACCGACAGAAUAAGCACCGGCUAACUCUGUGCCAGCAGCCGCGGUAAUACAGAGGGUGCAAGCGUUAAUCGGAAUUACUGGGCGUAAAGCGCGCAUAGGUGGUUUGUUAAGUUGGAUGUGAAAGCCCCGGGCUCAACCUGGGAACUGCAUCCAAAACUGGCAAGCUAGAGUAUGGUAGAGGGUGGUGGAAUUUCCUGUGUAGCGGUGAAAUGCGUAGAUAUAGGAAGGAACACCAGUGGCGAAAGCGACCACCUGGACUGAUACUGACACUGAG